rnacentral:rRNA from 1 species
GACGAACGCUGGCGGCGUGCUUAACACAUGCAAGUCGAACGGAAAGGCCCUGCUUUUGUGGGGUGCUCGAGUGGCGAACGGGUGGGUAACACGUGAGUAACCUGCCCUUGACUUUGGGAUAACUUCAGGAAACUGGGGCUAAUACCGGAUAGGAGCUCCUGCUGCAUGGUGGGGGUUGGAAAGUUUCGGCGGUUGGGGAUGGACUCGCGGCUUAUCAGCUUGUUGGUGGGGUAGUGGCUUACCAAGGCUUUGACGGGUAGCCGGCCUGAGAGGGUGACCGGCCACAUUGGGACUGAGAUACGGACCAGACUCCUACGGGAGGCAGCAGUGGGGAAUAUUGCACAAUGGGCGGAAGCCUGAUGCAGCAACGCCGCGUGCGGGAUGACGGCCUUCGGGUUGUAAACCGCUUUCGCCUGUGACGAAGCGUGAGUGACGGUAAUGGGUAAAGAAGCACCGGCUAACUACGUG